GGAAGUAAAAGCGUAACAAGGUCUCCGUUGGUGAACCAGCGGAGGGAUCAUUACCGAGUUAUCAACUCCCAAACCCCUGUGAACAUACCCAACGUUGCUUCGGCGGGACCGCCCCGGCGCCCUCGGCGUCCCGGGACCAGGCGCCCGCCGGAGGACCCAAACUCUUGUUUAAACCAUAGUGGCAUAUUCUGAGUCUCACAAGAAAAAUGAAUCAAAACUUUCAACAACGGAUCUCUUGGCUCUG
rnacentral:misc_RNA from 1 species